AGGGCGGGACACGUGGUAUCCUGUCUGAAUAUGGGGGGCCCAUCCUCCAAGGCUAAAUACUCCUGACUGACCGAUAGUGAACCAGUACCGUGAGGGAAAGGCGAAAAGAACCCCGGCGAGGGGAGUGAAAAAGAACCUGAAACCGUGUACGUACAAGCAGUGGGAGCACGCUUAGGCGUGUGACUGCGUACCUUUUGUAUAAUGGGUCAGCGACUUAUAUUCUGUAGCAAGGUUAACCGAAUAGGGGAGCCGAAGGGAAACCGAGUCUUAACUGGGCGUUAAGUUGCAGGGUAUAGACCCGAAACCCGGUGAUCUAGCCAUGGGCAGGUUGAAGGUUGGGUAACACUAACUGGAGGACCGAACCGACUAAUGUUGAAAAAUUAGCGGAUGACUUGUGGCUGGGGGUGAAAGGCCAAUCAAACCGGGAGAUAGCUGGUUCUCCCCGAAAGCUAUUUAGGUAGCGCCUCGUGAAUUCAUCUCCGGGGGUAGAGCACUGUUUCGGCAAGGGGGUCAUCCCGACUUACCAACCCGAUGCAAACUGCGAAUACCGGAGAAUGUUAUCACGGGAGACACACGGCGGGUGCUAACGUCCGUCGUGAAGAGGGAAACAACCCAGACCGCCAGCUAAGGUCCCAAAGUCAUGGUUAAGUGGGAAACGAUGUGGGAAGGCCCAGACAGCCAGGAUGUUGGCUUAGAAGCAGCCAUCAUUUAAAGAAAGCGUAAUAGCUCACUGGUCGAGUCGGCCUGCGCGGAAGAUGUAACGGGGCUAAACCAUGCACCGAAGCUGCGGCAGCGACGCUUAUGCGUUGUUGGGUAGGGGAGCGUUCUGUAAGCCUGCGAAGGUGUGCUGUGAGGCAUGCUGGAGGUAUCAGAAGUGCGAAUGCUGACAUAAGUAACGAUAAAGCGGGUGAAAAGCCCGCUCGCCGGAAGACCAAGGGUUCCUGUCCAACGUUAAUCGGGGCAGGGUGAGUCGACCCCUAAGGCGAGGCCGAAAGGCGUAGUCGAUGGGAAACAGGUUAAUAUUCCUGUACUUGGUGUUACUGCGAAGGGGGGACGGAGAAGGCUAUGUUGGCCGGGCGACGGUUGUCCCGGUUUAAGCGUGUAGGCUGGUUUUCCAGGCAAAUCCGGAAAAUCAAGGCUGAGGCGUGAUGACGAGGCACUACGGUGCUGAAGCAACAAAUGCCCUGCUUCCAGGAAAAGCCUCUAAGCAUCAGGUAACAUCAAAUCGUACCCCAAACCGACACAGGUGGUCAGGUAGAGAAUACCAAGGCGCUUGAGAGAACUCGGGUGAAGGAACUAGGCAAAAUGGUGCCGUAACUUCGGGAGAAGGCACGCUGAUAUGUAGGUGAAGUCCCUUGCGGAUGGAGCUGAAAUCAGUCGAAGAUACCAGCUGGCUGCAACUGUUUAUUAAAAACACAGCACUGUGCAAACACGAAAGUGGACGUAUACGGUGUGACGCCUGCCCGGUGCCGGAAGGUUAAUUGAUGGGGUCAGCGCAAGCGAAGCUCUUGAUCGAAGCCCCGGUAAACGGCGGCCGUAACUAUAACGGUCCUAAGGUAGCGAAAUUCCUUGUCGGGUAAGUUCCGACCUGCACGAAUGGCGUAAUGAUGGCCAGGCUGUCUCCACCCGAGACUCAGUGAAAUUGAACUCGCUGUGAAGAUGCAGUGUACCCGCGGCAAGACGGAAAGACCCCGUGAACCUUUACUAUAGCUUGACACUGAACAUUGAGCCUUGAUGUGUAGGAUAGGUGGGAGGCUUUGAAGUGUGGACGCCAGUCUGCAUGGAGCCGGCCUUGAAAUACCACCCUUUAAUGUUUGAUGUUCUAACGUGGACCCGUGAUCCGGGUUGCGGACAGUGUCUGGUGGGUAGUUUGACUGGGGCGGUCUCCUCCUAAAGAGUAACGGAGGAGCACGAAGGUUGGCUAAUCCUGGUCGGACAUCAGGAGGUUAGUGCAAUGGCAUAAGCCAGCUUGACUGCGAGCGUGACGGCGCGAGCAGGUGCGAAAGCAGGUCAUAGUGAUCCGGUGGUUCUGAAUGGAAGGGCCAUCGCUCAACGGAUAAAAGGUACUCCGGGGAUAACAGGCUGAUACCGCCCAAGAGUUCAUAUCGACGGCGGUGUUUGGCACCUCGAUGUCGGCUCAUCACAUCCUGGGGCUGAAGUAGGUCCCAAGGGUAUGGCUGUUCGCCAUUUAAAGUGGUACGCGAGCUGGGUUUAGAACGUCGUGAGACAGUUCGGUCCCUAUCUGCCGUGGGCGCUGGAGAACUGAGGGGGGCUGCUCCUAGUACGAGAGGACCGGAGUGGACGCAUCACUGGUGUUCGGGUUGUCAUGCCAAUGGCACUGCCCGGUAGCUAAAUGCGGAAGAGAUAAGUGCUGAAAGCAUCUAAGCACGAAACUUGCCCCGAGAUGAGUUCUCCCUGACCCUUUAAGGGUCCUGAAGGAACGUUGAAGACGACGACGUUGAUAGGCCGGGUGUGUAAGCGCAGCGAUGCGUUGAGCUAACCGGUACUAAUGAACCGUGAGG
rnacentral:rRNA from 1 species